rnacentral:rRNA from 1 species
AGUGAACGCUGGCGGUAGGCCUAACACAUGCAAGUCGAACGGCAGCACAGUAAGAGCUUGCUCUUACGGGUGGCGAGUGGCGGACGGGUGAGGAAUACAUCGGAAUCUACUUUUUCGUGGGGGACAACGUAGGGAAACUUACGCUAAUACCGCAUACGACCUACGGGUGAAAGCAGGGGAUCUUCGGACCUUGCGCGAUUGAAUGAGCCGAUGUCGGAUUAGCUGGUUGGCGGGGUAAAGGCCCACCAAGGCGACGAUCCGUAGCUGGUCUGAGAGGAUGAUCAGCCACACUGGAACUGAGACACGGUCCAGACUCCUACGGGAGGCAGCAGUGGGGAAUAUUGGACAAUGGGCGCAAGCCUGAUCCAGCCAUACCGCGUGGGUGAAGAAGGCCUUCGGGUUGUAAAGCCCUUUUGUUGGGAAAGAAAAGCAGCAGGUUAAUACCCCGCUGUUCUGACGGUACCCAAAGAAUAAGCACCGGCUAACUUCGUG